rnacentral:rRNA from 1 species
GACGAACGCUGGCGGCGUGCCUAAUACAUGCAAGUCGAACGCAGUGGGGACGGGUGAGUAACACGUGGGUAACCUCCCAUCAGAGGGGAUAAAACUUGGAAACAGGUGCUAAAACGAUAUUGAUGGAUGGACCCGCGGUGCAUUAGCUAUUUGAUGAGGUAAGUGCUCACCAAGGCCACUUUGCAUAACCGACCGGAUAGGGUGAUCGUCCACACGUGGACUGAGACACGGCCCAUACUCCUACUGGAGGCAGCAGUAGUGAAUUGUCGGCAAUGGUCGAAAGUCUGACCGAGCAACGCCGCGUGAGUGAAGAAGGUUUUCGGAUCGUAAAACUCUGUUGUUAGAGAAGCGGUAUCUAACCAGAAAGCCACGGCUAACUACGUGCCAGCAGCCGCGGUAAUAC